UCCUAGAGUGUCCUCGGUCCCUUUUCUCUCCUUCCCCUCCCCCACGGUAGAGUACCGCCCGGAAGACCCUUAACUUCCGGGGAGGGGCUGCAAAAGAACGCGCCCGGCCAGCUUCCCCCUGCCGGAGUGCGCCGGCCCCCCGAGGCGCAUGCGCAGCUGCCCUCCACCGCGCGCCCCCUCCCAGUCCGGUCUUUUGCUUUGGCGGUGGAGACGGCGCGGAUCUUCCCCGGCGUCCGCGGCGGCCCGGGAAUCCGCUGCGGUAUGGUGUGGUGGCUCGAUUCUCCCAGUGCCUGGCUGAGUUUCGGACGUGGUUAAGAACCAACUGGUUGAGGUUCAAUGCAGACAAGACGGAUGUGAUGCUGUGUUUGAGAACUGAUGAUGGGCCAAUAAUUUCCAGCGUUUGGGUGAGAUAAAAAUAACAUGUCAACAAUAUUAGGACUAUAAAAAUAACACUUUGUUAUAAUCUGAUAAAAUGGGGCCACUGGAUAAAACUCUUUAUGUAAAAAUUAUGAAAAAAACCAAACUGUUUUUUGAAGAACCAAAAGGCUAUGUAAGUGUUUUGGGGUGGCAUUAAUAAUAAAAACCAAACUAACAAAAAGAUGAUGCUGAUU
rnacentral:lncRNA from 1 species